rnacentral:lncRNA from 1 species
CCUUCUCUAGUCCAUGUGACAAAUAAACUUGAAGCUCAUUUAGAUGGGAAAUUUCAUCUAAAUUAUCACCUUGAGUACCCCUGAACUCUGUCCACGAUUUAAGAGCUGUUAAGCCAGCAUCUCUUUUAGACGAUUGUGAUGUAGGCGAAGUAGGGGUUGGAAUAUUAGGCUUAGCAUGCUCUAACGCCUGUUAAUAAGCAUUAUAAACAGUUUGAGCAUUAACUUUAAUUGAUGCUUUCCCAUCAGCUAGUGUAGCAAUUUCUACUUCUGAAAGAUCUAAAGAUUGAUAAAUAGUAGAAUACCUAAAGUGAGGACCUCCUAAUUUCAUAGUUGGAUUUAACAUAGUAGACACACCAAAAAUAGGAGGGAUUGGAAAAAAAUAUUUUUUAAACUUCUUUUUCAUUUCAGUUAUUGCAAGUUCAUAAAUGUCCCCUCCCUCGCUAAAN